CCUACGGGUGGCAGCAGUGGGGAAUAUUUGACAAUGGGCGAAAGCCUGAUCCAGCCAUGCCGCGUGUGUGAAGAAGGCCUUCGGGUUGUAAAGCACUUUCAGUGGGGAAGAAAGCCUUGGGGCUAAUACCCUCGAGGAAGGACAUCACCCACAGAAGAAGCACCGGCUAACUCCGUGCCAGCAGCCGCGGUAAUACGGAGGGUGCGAGCGUUAAUCGGAAUUACUGGGCGUAAAGCGCGCGUAGGCGGUCUGAUAAGCCGGUUGUGAAAGCCCCGGGCUCAACCUGGGAACGGCAUCCGGAACUGUCAGGCUAGAGUGCAGGAGAGGAAGGUAGAAUUCCCGGUGUAGCGGUGAAAUGCGUAGAGAUCUGGAGGAAUACCAGUGGCGAAGGCGGCCUUCUGGACUGACACUGACGCUGAGGUGCGAAAGCGUGGGUAGCAAACAGGAUUAGAUACCCGAGUAGUC
rnacentral:rRNA from 1 species